rnacentral:lncRNA from 13 species
CUAGCUUCUGGUGGUUUCUGGGGGUGUUCCCCUGGCUUGUAGACACAUCGCCCCGAUUUCUGCCUCUGUUGGUACAUGGUCUUCUCUGUGUGUCUCUUGACCUCUGUGUUCCUCUCAUAAGGACGUAAGUCAUGUUGGAUUUAAGACCUACCUCCAAUCCAGUAUCAUCCCAUCUUAACUUAUUGUAUCUGCAAAAACCCCAUUUACAAAUAAGGUCACGUUCUGAAGUUCCAAGAGAACUGAAUGAAUGAAUUCAUUCACUGAGUGGAUUUUUGGAGGGCGCUCUUCAUUUCACCAGAAUUCCCUUUAAAAUACUUCAUUUAUGACUUCCCUGUUGGUUUCUCACUCAGAUUCCUUUCUGGACAGAUGCCAGCCCUGCCAUUCCUGCUGAUUCAGCUGCUUUACCCAGCAAUUGAGGAACCAGGCCCGCUCAGCCCUUCCAUCCUCCGAGCAGCACCGGUCAGCUGAGCAGGACACUAGAACAUGGCAGCAGUGGCCCAUGGGAUGAGAUGAGGCCUCAAAAAUGGAUGCAUCUGGAGACAUGACCUCCUCCUCCUCUUUGUACUGGCCCAACUCCAAAGCCUCUGUAGGGGCCAACCUGCUAGAAAAGAAUCUUGCUGAGAUCCAGAACCUGCACCAGCACCUGGAGGCAUCCGUCACCGUCAAUGAUCACCUGAGGGAGAGGCUCGAGCAUGUGCUCAGCCAUGGUGACCAAGGGAAAGGCCAGAAGAAUGAUGACCGCCCGCAUCACAACAGAAGCCAGUUAGGGGAAAGACCCUGACCCGUACCUGAAGCCAGUGCACGUGAGAGUGUGUGGCCUGCUGUGGGUGCCCAGCACAACCUGAGCCUGAGCCGUAUUGCACUGUUAUCCCAGUGCAUGGGGACGCCAGUUUCUGCUUGGCCGAGACUAAAACUUUAGUGGGUGCAGGAAAGUACAUCU